UACGUAUGGAGCAAGCGUUAUCCGGAUUUACUGGGUGUAAAGGGAGCGCAGGCGGUCUGGCAAGUCUGAUGUGAAAGGCCGGGGCUCAACUCCGGGACUGCAUUGGAAACUGUCAGACUGGAGUGUCGGAGAGGUAAGCGGAAUUCCUAGUGUAGCGGUGAAAUGCGUAGAUAUAUGGAGGAACACCGGUGGCGAAAGCGGCUCUCUGGCCUGUAACUGACACUGAGGCUCGAAAGCGUGGGGAGCAAACAGG
rnacentral:rRNA from 1 species